rfam:Brassica napus, WGS project CCCW01000000 data, contig: 17103
GUCGCUUUGGCCGAGUGGUUAAGGCGUAUGCCUGCUAAGUACAUGAGGUUUCCCAGAGAGAUUUCGCAUCUCUUAGGCGACG